AGCGAACGCUGGCGGCAGGCCUAACACAUGCAAGUCGAACGAACUCUUCGGAGUUAGUGGCGGACGGGUGAGUAACACGUGGGAACGUGCCUUUAGGUUCGGAAUAACUCAGGGAAACUUGUGCUAAUACCGAAUGUGCCCUUCGGGGGAAAGAUUUAUCGCCUUUAGAGCGGCCCGCGUCUGAUUAGCUAGUUGGUGAGGUAAAGGCUCACCAAGGCGACGAUCAGUAGCUGGUCUGAGAGGAUGAUCAGCCACAUUGGGACUGAGACACGGCCCAAACUCCUACGGGAGGCAGCAGUGGGGAAUCUUGCGCAAUGGGCGAAAGGCUGACGCAGCCAUGCCGCGUGAAUGAUGAAGGUCUUAGGAUUGUAAAAUUCUUUCAACGGGGACGAUAAUGACGGUACCCGGAGAAGAAGCCCCGGCUAACUUCGUG
rnacentral:rRNA from 1 species